CAAGAUAUGACUUAUUAGUGAAGUAUUUCAUUUACACUGAAAAUUUUUCUGUGCAAUUCAGGAUGUCUUGA
rnacentral:tRNA from 1 species